GUUUGAGGCCGGCCGCUUGGUGGCGCCUGUGGCCGCAGGGAUUUGACUGGGCCUUCUCUAGCUUUCCCCGGUUUGCUGCACUUGACGCUGCAGGGCGGGCGGGGUAAAGAAGGGAGCGAGCCCUUCUCAAGCUUGGAAAGUUUCCAGACUGCUGGGCCAGCCUCCUCCCCAGAGGGAAACUGAGGUCCGAUUGAGGUUUCUCCAAGACCGCCCACUCCUGCUCCUGUCCCCAAACCCCUUUCUGCCUAGGGUUCCUGGAAGCCAAGGAAACAGAACGAACUGUUCCCUGGGUGGGCGAGCCACUGCAGAGUACAAAGCUUUCAGGCCGCCUGCCUCAUUAGCACUAAUGGCUGCUCCCUUCCGCCCUGUGUCGUCAGGACUGUCUAUGCCUGGUCUCAUCAGCACAAGGCUGGGCUGAAGAAGUCCCAGGAGUCCUCCCAUGUCCUCUCAGCAACCCAGGCUGGAGCCUACUCCUUGGUGUUGGCAAAGGAAACCGUCUUUGAAGGGCAACUGUUUGAAAAUGCUGCAGAAACAUGAGAAAUGUUCAUGAAGUGACCCUGUGGAGGCUUCCGGUCACAGGAUCAUGUGAGCGCCACGAUCACCCCAGGGGUGGAGCAGAUGCUAAGUGUUCACCACACCCAAUUCUCUUCCUGGACACACAGGAAGAUGACAUUUCCAGUGACAUGCCCCACCUCUAGGCCCUAGUCUUUUUUUUAUUUAAAGGUCUGAGUCUUGUUCUGUCACCCAGGCUGGAGUGCAGUGCUGUGAUCAUGACUCACUGCAGCCUCAACCUCCUGUGCUCAAACAAUCCUCCCACCUCAGCCUCCCUAAUAGCUGAUGUCAUAUAGGCAUGAGCCAGUGUGCCUGGCUCAGGCCCUACCCUUAAAAGCAUCCCACCUGAUUCACCAGCCCCCUUCUCUCUCUCAGUAAACUUGGAAACCACGCAUUCCAGAUGGUAUAAUUUACAGCAUGAUGGAAAAAGCCAGCUCUCCAUGGGAAGCUGGCCAGUCUUCAUUGGAGUACAUUUUUAUUGCAUGAAGCCAAUGAGACUUGAUAUUGUUUAACUCUGUGGUUUCCAAAGUGCGGUCCUUUUGAAGUAUCCAUAAAGUCUACACUAGGUUCACGGUAAUAUUAAGAUGUUAUUUGUCAGCUGGGCACGGUGGCUCACGCCUAUAAUCUCAGCACUUUGGGAGGCCAAGGCAAAUGGAUAAUGAGGUCAGGAGUUUCAGACCAGCCUGGCCAACAUGGUGAAACCCAGUCUCUACUAAAAAUACAAAAAUUACCUGGGUGUGGUGAUGCAUGCCUGUAAUCCCAGCUACUCAGGAGGAGGCUGAGGCAGGAGAAUUGCUUGAAUCCGGGAGGCAGAGAUUGCAGUGAGCUGAAAUCUCACCACUGCACUCCAGCCUGGGUGAUGGAGCAAGACACUGUCUCAAAAAAAAAAAAAAAGAUAUUAUUUGUCUUUCAUGAGUGUACAGUGGGAUUUUCCAGAGGCUACAUGACAUGUGUUUUUUUAUUUUGUUUUUUAUACUGACAGAGGGGUCUUGCUAUGUUGCCCAGACUGGUCUUCCAAC
rnacentral:lncRNA from 1 species